rnacentral:misc_RNA from 1 species
UUCACGUCUGCUCCUCUUAAAUGUAUUAGCUGGAUCUCAGUGAGCUCGGUUCCACUCGGCGUGAUAAGUAUCACUCGCUGAGGACACUCGUAAAAAAAAGUGGCCGGGGUUGCAGACGAACCGCUUCUAAUAGUCCAUUCACUUGGACAAUUUAUUUAUGAUCUGAUCUCAAAUCAGGUAGGACUACCCGCUGAACUUAA